GGAUUGAGCCUUGGUAUGGAAAAUCCGUCGACUUUAGAAAUCGUGAUGGUUCAAGUCCCUCUAUCCCCA
rnacentral:tRNA from 3 species